AGUGAACGCUGGCGGUAGGCCUAACACAUGCAAGUCGAACGGCAGCACAGUAAGAGCUUGCUCUUACAGGUGGCGAGUGGCGGACGGGUGAGGAAUACAUCGGAAUCUACUUUUUCUUGGGUGAUAACGUAGGGAAACUUACGCUAAUACCGCAUACGACCUACGGGUGAAAGCAGGGGAUCUUCGGACCUUGCGCGAUUGAAUGAGCCGAUGUCGGAUUAGCUAGUUGGCGGGGUAAAGGCCCACCAAGGCGACGAUCCGUAGCUGGUCUGAGAGGAUGAUCAGCCACACUGGAACUGAGACACGGUCCAGACUCCUACGGGAGGCAGCAGUGGGGAAUAUUGGACAAUGGGCGAAAGCCUGAUCCAGCCAUGCCGCGUGGGUGAAGAAGGCCUUCGGGUUGUAAAGCCCUUUUAUUGGGAAAGAAAAGCAGCAGGUUAAUACCCCGCUGUUCUGACGUUACCAACAGAAUAAGCACCGGCUAACUUCGUG
rnacentral:rRNA from 1 species